ACCAGAAGUUACAUAAUCGUAUAACAGCUGCCUUUUAAGCAGCAGGUAGGGGGUUCGAGUCCCUCGGGUCG
rnacentral:tRNA from 1 species